AAUCAACGCUGGCGGCGUGCCUCAGACAUGCAAGUCGAACGAUUAAAGCUCUCUUCGGAGAGUGUAUAGAGUGGCGCACGGGUGAGUAACACGUAAGUAAUCUACCCCUCGAGUGGGGAAUAACAACCGGAAACGGUUGCUAAUACCGCAUAAUGCAGCGGCACCGCAAGGUGACAGUUGUUAAAGAUUUAUCGCUUGAGGAGGAGCUUGCGGCAGAUUAGCUAGUUGGUAGGGUAACGGCGUUACCAAGGCUACGAUCUGUAACCGGUCUAAGAGGACGGUCGGUCACACUGACACUGAAUAACGGGUCAGACUCCUACGGGAGGCAGCAGUCGGGAAUUUUGGGCAAUGGGCGAAAGCCUGACCCAGCAACGCCGCGUGAAGGAUGAAGUAUUCGGUAUGUAAACUUCGAAAGAAUAGGAAGAAUUAAUGACGGUACUAUUUAUAAGGUCCGGCUAACUAACGUGCCAGCAGCCGCGGU
rnacentral:rRNA from 1 species